ACUGGCAAGGAAGAUACACACUUGUCCUCACUUAGAUCAUAGUUCAUUGAUAGCAUUGUUCUGAGCCAGU
ensembl:snoRNA